GCAAAAUUUCGUACUAACAAAACAGCCCUAAUUCUUUUUCCCUCUUUUUCCCAAAGUCCCAAACACAACCGCUCUCGAUCUCUCUCUCUCUUGCCCAGUACCUCACCACUCUCUCUCUCGCCCAAAGUCCCAAACUGGAAAUUUCUCAGCUCCGGAACCUCACCGUUCCCGCCGUUAUGAACAUUCCGAUGGCCCAAUCUUCUUCUCGCCGUCAGCUUACAGAACAAAAACUUGAGGAGGUAGCUUGAGGAGGGAGGAGCCCCCAAAACGAAUUCGAAUAAAAACCCCCAAAAAGAUUCUAACUUUGAAAUCGGAGGACUCCCAAAACCUAUAAAGUUUCAGACUUUGAGUUUUCUUCGUGUAUCUGCAACUCGCUUCAUCUGUCUCAAAAGUUGAAAUCAGUUAGAAACAACAAAGACGUGAACAGUGACUUAGUCUGCUGUGUCUCAAAGGUUGAUUUGUGCUGAUCUUAUUUCAUUUGAGGCUUUCAAGUUUGAAGCGGCUUAGCUUCUGAGGCACGCAGUAGCAGCGUUUCUAGUUUGAAAUCGGUUUCUUUUUCCAUUACUGGGAAUCGCUUCCCAUCUCUAACUUCAAGACCUGGACCCUUUCAAGUUUCCUAUUCGAGAACACCAUCCAUUAUUUGAAAAGGCUGCUCAUCUUCAAGUCAGCAGUGACGGAUUUGGAGUUAAUUUUGGAAAUCCAAAGCCAAGAGCUUGAUAUUACUGGUUUGCAUACACCAAUCAGAACUUGACAAGUGUUAAAGACCGAAUUUUCCACUCUUUGAUGGGAGAUGAUGGUCAUGGGUAUUGUCGUACUUUUGGAGCUGGUGUACCUCGUAGUCUAGUAUAUCCAAAGGAGUCAAAUAUAUCUCAAAGCACAAAUGAUCUCGUACAAAGAAUCACUGAACAAGUGCGUCAAGAGUUUCAAGUGUAGCUUCAGCAAUUGCAUGCUCGAAUUGAUUUUCUGAAUAAGGACACUAGUACAGAGUCUCCUAGAGAGAUUGCUGAUGCAACUAGUGGGCAUGAAAUUUUGAGGGAGUCUAUAGGAGAUGAAGUAACUCUGAAUGCAAAUCAUGACCAGCCCUCAUUGGAGCAGAAUUCUCCAGUAAUAUCCCCUUCACAAAAUGGAUCUCAAAGGGUUCUCAUGGCAAAAAGAGCAAAGCAAAUGAAAGGAAGUGCAAAGCUCACAAAAUGACAAAGUAAAAUGAUGCACUUGUGAUUGUUGUUUUAUUUCAAGUGUGGUUAUAAUUUUCAAUACUUGAAAAUGACAACACAUUUAUUUUCAUUUUAGUGUUUGUAUUUGAAUAUGGUAUGAUGACUCAAUAGAUAUGUUUAACUAUAUUUUUCAUGAAUUAAUGUUAAUUUCUGAAGAUA